GCCUCCGUAGCCUAGUGGUCAGCGCAACGGGCCACUAACCCAGAGGUCCCGGGACCGAACCCCGGCCGAGGUG
rnacentral:tRNA from 1 species